UGAACGCUGGCGGCGUGCUUAAUACAUGCAAGUCGAACGUGAAGCCUUAGCUUGCUAGGGUGGAAAGUGGCGAACGGGUGAGUAACACGUAAGUAAUCUACCUCUAAGUUUGGGAUAACCUUGCCAACGCGGGGCUAAUACCGGAUGUGAUCAUGAAAACGCAUGUUUUUAUGAUUAAAGAUGCAAAUCGUUUAGAGAUGAGCUUGCGGCCCAUUAUGUUUGUUGGUGGGGUAACGGCCUACCAAGACUACGAUGGGUAGCCGGCCUGAGAGGGUGAACGGCCACAUUGGGACUGAGAUACGGCCCAGACUCCUACGGGAGGCAGCAGUAGGGAAUUUUGCGCAAUGGGCGAAAGCCUGACGCAGCAACGCCGCGUGAAGGAUGAAGGUUUUCGGAUCGUAAACUUCUGUUAUGUGGGAAGAAAAGCUCGCAAGAGUAUGACGGUACCACUUGAGUAAGCACCGGCUAACUACGUGCCAGCAGCCGCGGUAAUACGUAGGGUGCAAGCGUUGUUCGGAAUUACUGGGCGUAAAGGGAGUGUAGGCGGAAUUAUAAGUUAGAAGUUUAAUUUACGGGCUCAACCCGUGAACUGCUUUUAAUACUGUAGUUCUUGAGUAUGGGAGAGGGUGAUGGAAUUCCAGGUGUAGCGGUGGAAUGCGUAGAUAUCUGGAAGAACACCAGUUGCGAAGGCGGUCGCCUGGCCCAAUACUGACGCUGAUGCUCGAAAGCUAGGGGAGCGAACAGGAUUAGAUACCCUGGUAGUCCUAGCCGUAAACGAUGGACACUAGUUGCUGGAGGAGUCUAUCCUUUCAGUGACGAAGCUAACGCAUUAAGUGUCCCGCCUGGGAAGUACGCCCGCAAGGGUGAAACUCGAAGGAAUUGACGGGGGCCCGCACAAGCGAUGGAGUAUGUGCUUUAAUUCGAUGCAACGCGAAGAACCUUACCUGGGUUUGACAUGGGGGUGAAAGUUUCCAGAGAUGGAUUCCUUUCCGCAAGGAACACCCUACACAGGUGCUGCAUGGUUGUCGUCAGCUCGUGUCGUGAGAUGUUGGGUUAAGUCCCGCAACGAGCGCAACCCUCGCCCUUAGUUGCCAUCAGGUUAUGCUGGGAACUCUAAGGGGACCGCCUAGUUUAACUAGGAGGAAGGUGGGGAUGACGUCAAAUCAUCAUGGCCCUUACGCCCAGGGCUAGACACGUACUAC
rnacentral:rRNA from 1 species